GAUGAACGCUGGCGGCGUGCCUAAUACAUGCAAGUCGAGCGAACAGACGAGGAGCUUGCUCCUCUGACGUUAGCGGCGGACGGGUGAGUAACACGUGGAUAACCUACCUAUAAGACUGGGAUAACUUCGGGAAACCGGAGCUAAUACCGGAUAAUAUAUUGAACCGCAUGGUUCAAUAGUGAAAGACGGUUUUGCUGUCACUUAUAGAUGGAUCCGCGCCGCAUUAGCUAGUUGGCAAGGUAACGGCUUACCAAGGCAACGAUGCGUAGCCGACCUGAGAGGGUGAUCGGCCGCACUGGAACUGAGACACGGUCCAGACUCCUACGGGAGGCAGCAGUAGGGAAUCUUCCGCAAUGGGCGAAAGCCUGACGGAGCAACGCCGCGUGAGUGAUGAAGGUCUUCGGAUCGUAAAACUCUGUUAUUAGGGAAGAACAAAUGUGUAAGUAACUAUGCACGUCUUGACGGUACCUAAUCAGAAAGCCACGGCUAACUACGUG
rnacentral:rRNA from 1 species